UCACUUACCUGGACGGGGUCAAUGGACGACCAAGAAGGUCCAUGGCCUAGGUUGGUGACCUCCAUUGCACUCGGGAGGGGUGCCCGCCUAAGGUCGGCCCAAGUGGUCGAGCCUACGUCAUAAUUUGUGGCAGUGGAGGCCUGCGUUCGCGCGGCCUCUGC
rnacentral:snRNA from 1 species